rnacentral:rRNA from 1 species
UACAUAGGGGGCAAGCGUUAUCCGGAAUUAUUGGGUGUAAAGGGUGCGUAGACGGAGAAACAAGUUGGUUGUGAAAUCCCUCGGCUCAACCGAGGAACUGCAACCAAAACUAUUUCCCUUGAGUGUCGGAGAGGAAAGUGGAAUUCCUAGCGUAGCGGUGAAAUGCGUAGAUAUUAGGAGGAACACCAGUGGCGAAGGCGACUUUCUGGACGAUAACUGACGUUGAGGCACGAAAGUGUGGGGAGCAAACAGG